rnacentral:rRNA from 1 species
CGCAUCUGUGCAUGCAGCAUAUCAAUAAGCGGAGGAAAAGAAACUAACAAGGAUUCCCCUAGUAACGGCGAGUGAAGCGGGAAGAGCUCAAAUUUGAAAUCUUAAAGGGUUUCCCUUUACGAAUUGUAGUUUAAAGAAGUGUUUUCUGUUGAGGUUUUGGUAAAAGUUCUUUGGAAUAGGACAUCAUAGAGGGUGAGAAUCCCGUAUUUGACCUUUACUUUCAACUUUGUGAUACACUUUCAAAGAGUCGGAUUGUUUGGGAAUGCAGUCCAAAAUGGGUGGUAAAUUUCAUCUAAAGCUAAAUAUUGGCGAGAGACCGAUAGCGAACAAGUACCGUGAGGGAAAGAUGAAAAGAACUUUGAAAAGAGAGUUAAACAGUACGUGAAAUUGUCAAAAGGGAGGCGUUUGACACCAGUGUUGUUUUUCUGAAAAUCAAUUAAAGAACUGUUUAUGCUAAGCUGUUUAGACUUUAUCAGCUAUCUGUUUAGUUUUGAGCUUUUCUUUAAUGCACUUUUCAGUUAACAAGUCAACAUCAAUUUCUUUUGCUGUAAAAAAGCUUGAGGAAGGUGGCUUGAGAUUCGUCUUAAGUGUUUAUAGCCUCUUGCCUAUGCAGUCGGAGAGAUUGAGGUCUGCAGCGUAGAUCCUUCGGGGCUAAAUGCAUUUGUGCUAAGUUAUAGCAUUUUAUAGACAACUUGUUGACUAUGAUUUGUCUUGUAGCUUACUCGCUUAUGUUAUUUUACCUACGCUUAGGAUGUUGAGUCGUAGAGCACGCAG